GGGCGUGGCGCGGCGCCGCGUGCGGUGAGCGGGCGCGCAGGGCCGCCGCGGGAGGCAGGCGGGCGGUGUCUACGCCUGGAGGGGGUGAAGGCCCCCCACACAAGUUUCCCACCAGGCCCCGACAUGCCUGUCCUUGUGAGGCAAAAACUUCAAUGGGAUCCUUCCUCUCCCUAAAGAUGCAAAUAGUACGACACUCUGAACAGACACUAAAAACAGUUCUCAUCUCAAAGAACCCAGCGCUGGUGGCACAGUACGAGAAGUUAGAUGCUGGGGAACGGCGUUUGAUGAACGAAGCCUUCCUGCCAAACAGUGAUCUCUUUGGACCCAUUACUUUGCAUUCGAAGUCAGAUUGGAUAAACUCCCACCCUGAGGCUCCCCAGGACUUUGAAGAGUUUUUCAAUGAUCCUUACAGAAAGACACCCUCUGCAGAGAAGCACAGUAUUUAUAUACAGUGCAUUGGAUCUCUUGGAAACACAAGGAGUGUCAGUGAAGAAUAUGUUAAAUGGCUCAAAGGCUACUGUGAAGCAUUUUUCUACGGCUUGACAGUGAAACUCCUAGAACCAGUUCCUGUCUCUGCCACCAAGUGUUCAUUUAGAAUCAACGAUGANNNNNNNNNNNNNNNNNNNNNNNNNNGGCAGAUCCUGAAGUUCUUAAAAAAGAGGAAACCUGAAGAUGCCUUUUGUGUUGUGGGAAUAACAAUGAUUGAUCUCUAUCCAAGAGACUCCUGGAAUUUCGUCUUCGGACAGGCCUCUUUGACAGAUGGUGUGGGGAUAUUCAGCUUUGCCAGGUAUGGCCGUGAUUUCUAUAGCUCCCACUAUGAAGGCAAGGUGAAGAAGCUGCGGAAGAAAUCCUCGAGUGACUAUUCAGUUUUUGACAACUAUUACAUUCCUGAAGUCACUAGUGUUUUGCUGCUUCGGUCCUGUAAGACUUUAACCCACGAGAUUGGGCACAUCUUCGGACUUCGGCACUGCCAGUGGCUUGCCUGCCUCAUGCAAGGUUCCAACCACUUGGAAGAAGCUGACCGGCGCCCCCUCAACCUUUGCCCUGUCUGUUUACGCAAGCUGCAGAGCGCUAUUGGCUUCAGCCUUAAAGAAAGAUACCGAGCGCUGGUGAGGUGGAUUGACGAUGAAUCCACCGACACACCUAGAGUUACUCCGAGACACAGUCGCGAGGAUAACGUGAACCUGCCCAAACCUGUGGAAGCCUUUAAGGAGUGGAAAGAGUGGCUAACCCAGUGCCUUGCUCUUCUCCACACAUAAGCACCCUCUCAUAGGAGUAAUUAAAAGAAAUAGCUGCACGUUACUCUUGCAUUUGGGCGGCGUAGUUCAUUGGAAUAAACUGUUGAGUCUGAUCCUGCGUGGUGUCAGAGUAACGGAAUGGAACUUUUUUUUUUUAAGCACCUGAACUUUGGGGUUCGCUAGUGGCACCGCAGCUUGGAGUGGCUGCUGUGGUGUGGGUUUGAUUCCUGGCCCAGAAACAUGCAUAUGCCACGGGCAAGGCCGAAAAAACCUCCACCUGAACAUUGAAAUGAAGUUCAUUUUGAAUGAUAAAAA
rnacentral:lncRNA from 1 species